GAACGGCAGACUAUUGCGACUGGUGACUCUUUGGUGACUCUAAAGUCCUACUAGUGUUGGUGACUCCUUGGAUAUUUUACAGUUUCCUGUUGUCCAGCAUCUCUCCUCUAUCCCAUUGGCUCUCUGUCUGUCCUAUACCUUGUAUCCACUCUGUCUACAAUUUGAUAACUCUAGCUUUCCUGUCAAAUCUACCCCUCUAUCUUUGAUUUUGGAAACUCUAUCUUUGUAUCCCUCUUCUAUCCCACUCUAUCUGUAUACUGAACCGAUAUUUUGAAACAUGAAUUUUGAAACCUGAACUCUGAAACCCAAUUUUUGGUUACCUAAGGUCAUUGAUACCUGUCUGUCUGAACAGAACUCUGAGAGUCUCCACUCUCUG